rnacentral:rRNA from 1 species
GGUGCAGACGGCUUUUUAAGUUCGGUUGUGAAAUCUCCCGACCUUAAUUGGGAGGAAGUCAUUCGAUACUAUUAAGCUAGAGGACGGUAUAGGAAAGCGGAACUCCCGGUGUAGCGGUGAUAUGCGUAGAUAUCGGGAGGAACACCAGUGGCGAAGGCGGCUUUCUGGGCCGUUCCUGACGUUAAGACCCAAAAGCGUGGGGAGCAAAACGGAUUAGAUACCCGUGUAGUCCACGCCCUAAACAUUGGACACUAGGUAUAGGGGGUAUCGACCCUCUCUGUGCCGAAGCUAACGCUUUAAGUGUCCCGCCUGGGGACUACGGCCGCAAGGUUAAA